AGGAUGCAUGUGUGCAUGAGGUGAGGGUGUGGAGGGGGCUCUGACAGCUGGGAAAUCUCAGAGGAAGAACCCUGCCACAUUCUCAAACCAGGGAAUAGCCCAGAGGUUGGCCAUAAAACAACACCUUCCAGGGACUCACGCACUUCAGAGGAGGCAGGUGGAUUAAAGAGAGCUUCAGCUCGCACAUAAAAUGGAUCAGAAGCGUUUAAGAUGAGGAAAGUGAAGCAAACAGGGUUAAGUGACUUGUCGAGAGGAACAAAGCUAGUAAGAGUCUGAGGCUGGAUUUAAACUCACAAAGAGGAGUCUUCCUGCUUGCAGGCCUGGUGUUCUAUCCACUGUGCCACCCGGCUGCCCUUUUGUCUUCUGCUGAAUAAACAUUUUAUGACUAUUCCUGA